GGGGGCGUAAUGGUUUCGACGGAGAUUUUGACGUCCAAGGUAGCAUGUCGAGUGUUUGUCAACUCGUAAACUUGGCAAGUUUAAAUAUAAUCGCAGACGAUUAUAA
rnacentral:tmRNA from 1 species